UACGUAGGGUGCAAGCGUUGUCCGGAAUUAUUGGGCGUAAAGAGCUCGUAGGCGGUCUGUCGCGUCGGAUGUGAAAAUCCAGGGCUCAACCCUGGACCUGCAUUCGAUACGGGCAGACUAGAGUUCGGUAGGGGAGACUGGAAUUCCUGGUGUAGCGGUGAAAUGCGCAGAUAUCAGGAGGAACACCGGUGGUGAAGGCGGGUCUCUGGGCCGAAACUGACGCUGAGGAGCGAAAGCGUGGGGAGCAAACAGG
rnacentral:rRNA from 1 species